rnacentral:rRNA from 1 species
AGGACGAACGCUGGCGGCGUGCUUAACACAUGCAAGUCGAGCGAGGCUCUUCCCUCGGGAAGAUGUCCUAGCGGCGAACGGGUGAGUAACACGUGGGCAACCUGCCCCUAGCACUGGGAUAACCCCGGGAAACCGGGCUAAUACCGGAUAUCACUUCGGAAGGCAUCUUCUGAAGUUGAAAGGGUUACUGGCUAGGGAUGGGCCCGCGGCCUAUCAGCUUGUUGGUGGGGUAAUGGCCUACCAAGGCGACGACGGGUA